AUCCAAGACACAAGACCCAUGGUAUAAUAAUGUUGCUUAAUUGUCUACCUUAGGCCUAACUUCUAUUCCUUCAAGAAAGAAAUUCCCCUUGGUCUCACCAGCCUUUAUCUCGAUAACACUCAUCUGGACUUCUUCAUUUUCAAGGCCUGAAUUGAACUCUCCCAUCUCAAUCUCCAACCACCCAUCACUUCUCACACCAGGACGCGGCAAUCCUACUACUCUGUCAGCACGACCGUAAAAUCUUGCAUGUCUGCUGUUCUGCCUGCGUUCGACAUUUGGAUCCAAACAGACAAUUUUAGUACUACUAUGGCCACCUUCGACACCGACAGAUAAAUCCACAGGAAGGGUCUCAAACCCAUAGCCAUCAAUCAAUUUGAACACGAGAUAAGCUGCAUACUGAGUAUUUGGAGACAAGGCAAGAUUGUUAAUCAUCCCACGAAUUUCGAGCCACCACACAAGACGAAGAUUAGCAACUUCGGGGAACCUGUCCAACACAAAAGUUGCAGAGAUGAGAAUACAAUAAUUGAGAAAAAGUUGAAAAGGAUUCAUAACAUCACAAAUGGAACAUUUAUACAUGUGUACGUACGCAAACAAUGCAAGCUCAUCAACUAAAAUUUGCAAGUUGAAUCAAAGUUUCCAACAUCAAAAAGAGUAACCAAAAAACUUUGAAACAACUCAACUAAUAAAAACAUCAAUUAGAGGGGGGGCAUUGCCAACCUGGAAUCAGGCAUAGCAGUCCAGAUCCAAUAGCGGUCAUCAUCACCCCAAAUAAUGUGGAGAGAUCUAGCAGCAAGCAUGUAACACUUUUUUCCACUCUUUCUAUCCAAUUGAAAGCUCUGCAUUUCAAUAUACCCAGAAGGCUUAUGAUUAGCAUUCUGAACUAAGCAUUUAAAAAAUAACCAUAUAUUUUACAACAAUCAAUUGAGCAUUGUAUGUAACUGUAGAAAACAUAUGCAUAGUAGCAGACUUUCUUCAGCGUAUAUAUUUUACAAUGCAUAAACUGUUGAGAUCUCAAAGAUAUUAGAUGCCAAUAUGAAUUAAGGACUUUUGUCAUUUUACAAUGCUCAACUAAUAUUGAGUCUUAUCUUAAUUAUACUUAUUUUACUUAUAUACGCAUUUGCAGGACACAAACAAAUAAACAACAUUGACAGCGGUAAUUAUUUUUAAAAAAAAAAAUGGCAUAAUUGAAUGUAAUCAAAAGUGUCGGUGACAAAAGUCGGACACCAGACAUGUUUUCAAUCAUCAUUCAGAAGUGUAAGCGCUAGGUAGAUCUAAUCUGAUAUCUUUACAAACCAAACCAACAUGGUGGUUCAGUGGAACAUCGGAUCUACUGCACUACCGUAAUAAUAAUAAUAAAUGUACAAGAUUAUUAUAAAACAAGUUAUUUGCAAAACGAUCAAGUAAUUUAUUGAUACAUGCAGAAGUGAAUUCUGAUGAUCAAUGUUCAGUGAAUAUCUUAAACCCUAACAUGAAAGAACAAUCAAUUAAGUUUACGUACGAUCAACGGCAAUAAACCCUAAAAUUUCAGACGAUGAUGAAAUAUAUGAUGAUACCUUUUUGGCAUCGUCGAUGAUGAUAGGUCGAUCGGAUAGGGUAAGAUAGAGAGCCUUUUUGGAAGGAGCAUUUGCUAGAGAAGGUGACUGUGAGAUGAUAGAGUUGACAUCGGAAGGAAGAAAGUGAUUCCAGACGGCAUCGGAAUCGGCGGCAGAAAGGAAAGUCUUCGAAACGACGGAGAGUCUGCCGGCGUCAACAGGAGUCGUACGUGACAGUAUGGAGGAAAUGCAACCUUCUGCUAAAUCUUCAAACCCUGUCAUUCUUCUGCUUUUUACGAAAAACAAAAAGGUGAAAAUGGGUCUUGCCUAGUCUUUCCGGUAUUUAUAUACAGUAUUUUUAGUGUUAAUUUUUUUUUUUUUAAUCUUCCCAUCCUCAUGCCGUCUUUUUAGACAGUGUUAAUUUGUUUUUCUUAAUCACAAAGAAAGAACGAACAUAAUCGGAAGUUGUGUUAAUUUGUUUUUCUUAAUCACAAAGAAAGAACAUAAUCUGAAGUUUUAUCUAAAAGUAAAUAAAGUUGAGUCAUUGAAUUUGGGUUUUUUUUUUUUUUUUUUACAAAGAAUUUGGAACUCGUUAACACUCGAGCUCAAUUACAUUCAUAAAUAUUUUUUAUUUUUUAAUCAAAGGUUAAAUAUGUCUUUUUCUCUAUAAAAAUAUAUACAAUCCUCGCAUAUAUUUAUUUAUUUAUUUUUUAACCAAAUGGAUCGCCUACGUGUAAUUGUCGAGAUUAAUCUUCUCUUUAAAGUAUUUGAGAUCAAUUUAAUUAAGAGAUUCACAUAUCUCGACAAAUGUUUUUGUAUAUGUACAACUCAAAGAUUGAACUCUGAUUCAAAUGGUUAAGAGACUCUGAUCUUUUAAGUAAAUGGUCAAAGAUAUGAUAUCUAACUCCUGCGUAAAGAAAAACAUUUUUUGAAAUACCAAGAUGAAGAUGAGUUGCAACUAAAUGACGGUUAAACCUUUAUAUUUACGAGCAAAAAGACGAUCACUCACCACAUGCCCGUCUUUUCGCUUUUUUUAUUGCGUUAACCACUUGUAGAUUAUCAACCAUAUUUUAUAGAAAUCAAACCAUAUUUUAUAUAUAUAUAUACAUAUAUAUCAAAACUAUAAACUAUAUAAUGGACGUAAUUGAAUAACAGUGUAAAUUUAUAUAUUACUUCAGUACUCCUCGAUUAAACUAAAAAAAAGACUAAUUACUAUGAAGAUAUAAUAUAUGUUUCUUUUAUAUGAAUAUCCAACACAUUUUAGCAUGUAGAUAUGCCCACAAGAUUUAUUUUUUCUCUUCUUCCUAAACACCAGAAUAAAAACAUUUGAAAACACGAAAAUAAUACCAUGUCAUAGAAUUUCCCACUAUUGAUUAAAAUAGAAGUGCAUGGUACAAUCAUAUAUAUAUAUAUAUAUAUAUAUAUAUAUAGAGGAUGUAUCACAUGAGAAUGACUUGUUAUAUGAGAAUGGUGAGAAUGAAUAUGAGUCAUUAGAUUAAAAUUGAAUGGUUGAGAUUAAACCUCACUUAAUGUACCAUUGUCAUGUGCCAUUUUCAUUCCUUCACGUUCGUCAUCUCUUUCUCAGCCACAUCUCUCCACACUCAAUCAACAUUUCUCCCACCAUCAGAGUUCCUUUCUCUCUCACCGUCGUUGUUCUCUUUACACUAUCGGAGUUCCUUUCUUUUUCUUUUUUUCUUUUUCUUUUGCGGCCAUCUUUAUUCCGGCAACCACAUCUCUCAGGUGAAGUUUACUGGUUCCGACGAGAACAACGACACCGGAAAACCUGACGGCGGCGACGGGGACGCCGAUGGAGAGGAAGAACACGAAUUCAAUUAGCUUUGAAGGAAUUAAUAACAGUUCCAUUAGAGAAGCUUUUCCAUUGACGAAUUGAUUUGAGAAGAAGAACAGUGGUGGAUAAAUUGAGGAGAGAAAACAAAUUUAAAGGAAUCGAUUCCCUGCAAGAAACUCAUCACUUUGUUUUUUAUUGUUUUCCAACCACAAAUUGAAGGUGAAUUAAGUAUUUUUUUAAGAUCUGUUUGUUUUUCAUCUCACGCAAGCCAACAAUGGUGGAAUUGGAAAUACUGGUGGGAUGAAUUGUAAAGAAUUGAGAAACAAUGAAUAUGUACUUGAAUAUUCUAAAGAAAUGCAUCACACACUUUAUCAUAAUUUUAAUUGUUGUUCCGUUGCAAUUUUUCUGUGUUUGUGUUUGAUGGAAGAGGAUUCGAUAGUUGAUUGUGGGGAGAGAGAAAGUCUAAUGAGAAUGUGAUGAUACAUGAUAAUGGUACAUUAAGUGAGGUUUAAUCUCAACCAUUCCUUUUUAAUCUAAUGACUCAUAUUCAUUCUCAUCAUUCUUAUAUAACAAUGACAUUCUCAUGUGAUACAUCCUCUAUAUAUAUAUCAAUACUUUUUUUUUUUAAUUUGAUCUCAUAAUCACAGCCUUACAACACUAGCAUAUAGUAUUGUCAAAACAAAAUAAACUAGCAUAUAGUAUUCCACACCAAUACAAACUUAUACAUUUUACAUAUAAUCAUGAACAAACUGUCUAAGUAGUACGUGUUUGUUGUGGCGGUGGAAAUAGAAAAAAACGCCGUUUGCACAAAAGCUAUAAAUGUUAGCUUCUUUAUUUUCACUUUCAAAAUGCCUCGGGAUGCGGAAAAUGCUAAUACACCGCUGUACCAAACAGGUUAGUAACAAGUAACAGAAUCACUUUACUAAAAAGAAAAACAAAAAGUAACAGAAUAACUUCAAAAAAUUAUUAUUUAUAGAGAAAUUUAUUCUGGUAACUUGAUCUUCAAUUGAAUUACUCAUGUAUCCUUCCUUCAUCCACACCUAUGCCAGCUUCAGCUUGUUCCACUUCUGCAACAGAGUCUUUAUUCUUUGAUAAGUCUUCACCAAUUCCUACACCUAUAAGGAUAACAACAGCAUCAAAAUUAGAAUCAUAUCAUAUAUAUUAUGUAACACAAACAUUAUGCAAAAUGUACUAGAGAAAAAGAAUUACCCUGUUGUGAUUGAUUCUCCUCAGGUUUAGCAAACCAAGAUCCAUAAUAAUUCUUAACCCUGUCAACCAUGCCUUUUCUUGGACUAGUCACAUUGCUCUCUUCAAAAACUUUCUUUGACUUCUCAUCCUCACUAGCCAAUAUUCCAUCCUCUUUUGUCAAUGGCUCGUCUUUCCCUUCAUGUAAAGCUUCUAAAAUCACCUAAGAAAGUGCCUUAUCUUCUUCACUAGGCCUUAGCUUCUCAGCCAAAUAGUCUUUCACAGUAGCCCCUUUAUCUCGAUUUUUUGUUUCAGUUCCCUCAUUACUAGCUCAUUAUUGAGCUUAGAAGUUCCAUUAUUAUUGAGCUUAGAAGUUUCAUAAUUGUCAAGUGGGAGAGUUUUAACAGCUAUUGUUGCAGAAGUGAUUACAUCAACUCCAUCUUUGUAACUUUUGUGUUUCGAUUGUAUCUCCACUACUUCAUGUGAAAAAGCUCAUACUCUUGUGUCAAGAUAUUGAUUGACAUACUCUUGCAAGGUAUCCCGCACCGCCUUUGCAAAUUUAUAGUGGGAUACACGGUAAUGUUUAUCGAAUCCAAGAGCAGAGAUGAGAAUGUAGCAUGCCUUCCAGUCAUUCUAUACUGUCUCAGCCUCAACAUCUGUCUAUUAUCCUCUGAUUUAUCUAGGUCAAUCCUCUCAUUUUCUACAAUCAGCAUAAAAGACCCAUUUUUGACGGAUUGCCAAACUUCCAUAUAAUAAACCAUGUGAUAUGAACUCUCAUAAUUUUUCCAAUACAUAUAAUUCUCACCAGCGAAAACUAGAGUUCUAUUGCAACCCCCAUUCGAAUUCGAGCUUUUGAGCUGUUUAAAGCUCUUAGUCAAAAGACCAGGUGAUCUGAUAUCACUUGUUGGAAAGUAUGGAUUGUAUCUAGAGGUAGGGGGGGGGGGUGAAUAGAUACCCCCUUAUAUUUCAAGGUCAAAGAUAUUAGUUAAAAUUAUAAGUAAAUAAAUUAUUCAUCAAAAAGUCAUUAUUUUGAUUCAAAUGUAUUAAAACGCACCCAAAGAGCCCUAGAGAUGGUAAGGGGUCCUUUCCAAAUUAAUCAGAGAUCUUGAGCUCAAAUUCAACCUUACUUGAUCUACACUUUUACAAAAUAGGUGUUGUUGACGUCAAAACUAGAGGGGAGAGAAGACAUAUUGCACGUGCCUCACUUUGAGGUUUAUUUUAUUGGACAAGUGUGAUAUUAUGAGUCACUUGAUUCCAUGGAUUUCACAACUAUGAUUUGUUGCUAGUCUUAUGACUUACACAUGAUAUAACCGGAUCAUGACUCAUAAACAAUAUCCUCAAGGCAUUCUUUAGUAUUUCUUUAAUUAUAAUUAGCAAUGUAACUUAUUAUGUUAUUCAUGUAUAUACUUUACGAAGAAACAGUUUAAACAAGAGUAUGUUACAUACUGAAACUUUACGAAUAUACUUUAAGAAGAGACAGUUUAAACAAGAGUAUAUUAAAUACUAAAACUUUACGAAGAGAACAUUUAAACAAGAGUAUGUUACAUACUGAAAAGUUGGAACUUCAAAUCUUCAAGCACUAUUCUACCAUCCAAGACACAAGACCCAUGACAUAGUUCACUGAAAGUUGCUUAAUUGUCUACCUUAGGCCUAACUUCUAUUCCUUCAAGAAAGAAAUUCCCGUCUCACCAGCCUUUAUUUUCGAUAACACUCAUAUGGACUUCUUCAUUUUCAAGGCCUGAAUUGAAGAACUCUCCCAUCUCAAUCUCCCACCACCUACCACUUCUCCAACUAGGCCGCGGCAAUCCUACUACUUUGUUAUCUGAUCUUAUCAAACAAUUGCAAAAUCCUCUUUCUCUGAUGUAUAUGAAUUCUGCAUUUG
rnacentral:lncRNA from 1 species